GUAGGUGGCGAGCGUUGUCCGGAUUUACUGGGCGUAAAGAGCGCGCAGGCGGUCGAUCAAGUCGGAUGUGAAAGCCCCCGGCUCAACUGGGGAGGGUCAUUCGAUACUGAUCGACUCGAAGGCAGGAGAGGGAAGCGGAAUUCCCGGUGUAGUGGUGAAAUGCGUAGAUAUCGGGAGGAACACCAGUGGCGAAGGCGGCUUCCUGGCCUGUUCUUGACGCUGAGGCGCGAAAGCUAGGGGAGCAAACGGGAUUAGAUACCCCGGUAGUCCUAGCUGUAAACGAUGGACACUAGGUGUUGGUGGUAUCAACCCCGCCAGUGCCGUAGCUAACGCAUUAAGUGUCCCGCCUGGGGAGUACGGCCGCAAGGCUA
rnacentral:rRNA from 1 species